UUGACGGGGCCGCACAAGCGGAGGAGCAUGUGGUUUAAUUCGAUGAUACGCGAGGAACCUUACCUGGGCUCGAACGUAAGAUGACUGUAGGUGAAAGCUUACAUCUCUUCGGAGCAUUUUACGAGGUGCUGCAUGGUUGUCGUCAGCUCGUGCCGUGAGGUGUCGGGUUAAGUCCCAUAACGAGCGCAACCCCUACCUUUAGUUGCCAUCAGGUUAAGCUGGGGACUCUAAAGGAACUGCCUACGCAAGUAGUGAGGAAGGCGGGGAUGACGUCAAAUCAGCACGGCCCUUACGUCCAGGGCUACACACGUGCUACAAUGGCCGAUACAGAGGGCAGCUACCUGGUGACAGGAUGCAAAUCUCCAAAGUCGGUCUCAGUUCGGAUCGGAGUCUGCAACCCGACUCCGUGAAGUUGGAUUCGCUAGUAAUCGCGCAUCAGCCAUGGCGCGGUGAAUACGUUCCCGGGCCUU
rnacentral:rRNA from 1 species